rnacentral:rRNA from 1 species
AAAACGACUCUCGGCAACGGAUAUCUCGGCUCUCGCAUCGAUGAAGAACGUAGCGAAAUGCGAUACUUGGUGUGAAUUGCAGAAUCCCGUGAACCAUCGAGUCUUUGAACGCAAGUUGCGCCCCAAGCCUUCGGGCUGAGGGCACGUCUGCCUGGGUGUCACGC